UCAGAAUGUUACUGCAGUACAUAUCAGAAUGUUACUGCAGUACAUAUCAGAAUGUUACUGCAGUACAUAUCAGAAUGUUACUGUCAGAAUGUUACUGACAGUACAUAUCAGAAUGUUACUGACAGUACAUAUCAGAAUGUUACUGCAGUACAUAUCAGAAUGUUACUGCAGUACAUAUCAGAAUGUUACUGCAGUACAUAUCAGAAUGUUACUGCAGUACAUAUCAGAAUGUUACUGACAGUACAUAUCAGAAUGUUACUGACAGUACAUAUCAGAAUGUUACUGCAGUACAUAUCAGAAUAUUACUGACAGUACAUAUCAGAAUGUUACUGCAGUACAUAUCAGAAUGUUACUGCAGUACAUAUCAGCAGUACAUAUCAGAAUGUUACUGCAGUACAUAUCAGAAUGUUACUGACAGUACAUAUCAGAAUGUUACUGCAGUACAUAUCAGAAUGUUACUGCAGUACAUAUCAGAAUGUCCCUUCUGUGUCUCUGAUAGGAUUAUAACAUGCUGUUACUGCAGUACAUGUCAGAAUGUCACUGCAGUACAUGUCAGAAUGUUACUGCAGUACAUAUCAGAAUGUUACUGCAGUACAUACCAGAAUGUUACUGCAGUACAUAUCAGAAUGUUACUGCAGUACAUAUCAGAAUGUUACUGCAGUACAUAUCAGAAUGUUACUGACAGUACAUAUCAGAAUGUUACUGACAGUACAUAUCAGAAUGUUACUGACAUACAUAUCAGAAUGUUCCUUCUGUGUCUGAUAGGAUUAUAACAUGCUGUUACUGCAGUACAUAUCAGAAUGUUACUGCAGUACAUAUCAGAAUGUUACUGCAGUACAUAUCAGAAUGUUACUGCAGUACAUAUCAGAAUGUUACUGUCAGAAUGUUACUGACAGUACAUAUCAGAAUGUUACUGACAGUACAUAUCAGAAUGUUACUACAGUACAUAUCAGAAUGUUACUGCAGUACAUAUCAGAAUGUUACUGCAGUACAUAUCAGAAUGUUCUGCAGUACAUAUCAGAAUGUUACUGCAGUACAUAUCAGAAUGUUACUGACAGUACAUAUCAGAAUGUUACUGCAGUACAUAUCAGAAUGUUACUGCAGUACAUAUCAGAAUGUUACUGCAGUACAUAUCAGAAUGUUACUGCAGUACAUAUCAGAAUGUUACUGCAGUACAUAUCAGAAUGUUA
ensembl:lncRNA